rnacentral:rRNA from 1 species
UAGGGGGCAAGCGUUAUCCGGAAUUACUGGGUGUAAAGGGUGCGUAGGUGGUCUGGCAAGUCAGAAGUGAAAACCCGGGGCUCAACUCCGGGCCUGCUUUUGAAACUGUCGGACUAGAGUGCAGGAGAGGUAAGCGGAAUUCCUAGUGUAGCGGUGAAAUGCGUAGAUAUUAGGAGGAACAUCAGUGGCGAAGGCGGCUUACUGGACUGAAACUGACACUGAGGCACGAAAGCGUGGGGAGC